AGCAGCCGCGGUAAUUCCAGCUCCAAUAGUGUAUAUUAAAGUUGCUGUGAUUAAAACGCUCGUAGUUGAAUUAUAAAGCAUUUUGUGGACAGAUGCUCUGCCUGUCAGAGAGGAAGUUUUACUAUAUGGAUGCGUAGGCGAUACUUUUUAAAAGUGUCAUUACUUUGAAAAAAAUAGGGUGUUUAAAGCAAAUCUUAUGUUAAUGAAUAAUGAAGCAUGGGACAAUAUCAAGGGGAUCCUUCAGGAUUUCGAGAUAAGGAUUAAGAGGAACAAUUGGGGUGAUUCAGAAAGUAACGGGAGAGGUAAAAUUCCAUGAUCGCUAUAAGAUGCACGAGAGCGAAAGCAUUUCACUCAAUUGCGUUCAUUAAUCAAGAACGAAAGUUA
rnacentral:rRNA from 1 species